rnacentral:rRNA from 1 species
CCUGCCGUCUACUCUUGGACAGCCUUCUGAAAGGAAGAUUAAUACAAGAUGGCAUCAUGAGUUCACAUGUUCACAUGAUUAAAGGUAUUCCGGUAGACGAUGGGGAUGCGUUCCAUUAGAUAGUAGGCGGGGUAACGGCCCACCUAGUCUUCGAUGGAUAGGGGUUCUGAGAGGAAGGUCCCCCACAUUGGAACUGAGACACGGUCCAAACUCCUACGGGAGGCAGCAGUGAGGAAUAUUGGUCAAUGGGCGAGAGCCUGAACCAGCCAAGUAGCGUGAAGGAUGACUGCCCUAUGGGUUGUAAACUUCUUUUAUAAAGGAAUAAAGUCGGGUAUGGAUACCCGUUUGCAUGUACUUUAUGAAUAAGGAUCGGCUAACUCCGUGCCAGCAGCCGCGGUAAUACGGAGGAUCCGAGCGUUAUCCGGAUUUAUUGGGUUUAAAGGGAGCGUAGAUGGAUGUUUAAGUCAGUUGUGAAAGUUUGCGGCUCAACCGUAAAAUUGCAGUUGAUACUGGAUAUCUUGAGUGCAGUUGAGGCAGGCGGAAUUCGUGGUGUAGCGGUGAAAUGCUUAGAUAUCACGAAGAACUCCGAUUGCGAAGGCAGCCUGCUAAGCUGCAACUGACAUUGAGGCUCGAAAGUGUGGGUAUCAAACAGGAUUAGAUACCCUGGUAGUCCACACGGUAAACGAUGAAUACUCGCUGUUUGCGAUAUACUGCAAGCGGCCAAG